GGCAAGAUGGCCGAGCGGUUAAGGCGGUAGACUCGAAUGUUAUCAUAUUCUGAUAUCUACUCUCUUCGGAGGCGUCGGUUCAAAUCCGGCUCUUGUCG
rfam:Valsa mali strain 03-8 chromosome 11, whole genome shotgun sequence.